rnacentral:rRNA from 1 species
AGCGAACGCUGGCGGCAGGCCUAACACAUGCAAGUCGAACGAACCUUUCGGGGUUAGUGGCGGACGGGUGAGUAACACGUGGGAACGUGCCUUUAGGUUCGGAAUAACUCAGGGAAACUUGUGCUAAUACCGAAUGUGCCCUUCGGGGGAAAGAUUUAUCGCCUUUAGAGCGUCCCGCGUGUGAUUAGCUAGUUGGUUGAGGUAAUGGCUCACCAAGGGGACGAUCAGUAGCUGGUCUGAGAGGAUGAUCAGCCACAUUGGGACUGAGACACGGCCCAAACUCCUACGGGAGGCAGCAGUGGGGAAUCUUGCGCAAUGGGCGAAAGCCUGACGCAGCCAUGCCGCGUGAAUGAUGAAGGUCUUAGGAUUGUAAAAUUCUUUCACCGGGGACGAUAAUGACGGUACCCGGAGAAGAAGCCCCGGCUAACUUCGUG